rnacentral:rRNA from 1 species
AAGAUCGGAGUGCUUGCACUCUGUGAAAACAAAGAUACAGGGCUAGCGGCGGGACGGGGUGAGGUAAACAACGUGGGUAAACCCUAGCCCAAAGGGAUCGGGAUAACACCUGGAAACAGAUGCUAAUACCGGAUAACAACAGAUGAUGCCUAUCAACUGUUUAAAAGAUGGUUCUGCUAUCACUCUUGGAUGGACCUGCGGUGCAUUAGCUAGUUGGUAGGGUAACGGCCUACCAAGGCGAUGAUGCAUAGCCCGAGUUGAGAGACUGAUCGGCCACAUUGGGACUGAGACACGGCCCAAACUCCUACGGGAGGCAGCAGUAGGGAAUCUUCCACAAUGGACGAAAGUCUGAUGGAGCAACGCCGCGUGAGUGAAGAAGGUUUUCGGAUCGUAAAGCUCUGUUGUUGGUGAAGAAGGAUAGAGGUAGUAACUGGCCUUUAUUUGACGGUAAUCAACCAGAAAGUCACGGCUAACUACGUGCCAGCAGCCGCGGUAAU